UACGGAGGGGGCAAUCGUUGUUCGGAAUUACUGGGCGUAAAGCGCGCGUAGGCGGCUGGGUAAGUCAGAUGUGAAAGCCCUCAGCUCAACCGGGGAACUGCGUCUGAUACUGCCUGGCUUGAGUCCGGUAGGGGGUAGCAGAAUUCCCGGUGUAGCGGUGGAAUGCGUAGAUAUCGGGAGGAAUACCGAUGGCGAAGGCGGCUACCUGGGCCGGUACUGACGCUGAGGCGCGAAAGCUAGGGGAGAAAACAGG
rnacentral:rRNA from 1 species